rnacentral:rRNA from 1 species
AUGGCGGAAUCCUUGGACUUUGUGCCAGGGGCCGAGCAGGCGAGGCAGCGCGUGAACGCCUUCGUGGCGGACGCGAUGAACAAGCUCAUCCGCGACGUCCUCCCUCCCAGCUCCGUCGACUCGUCCACGGCGGUCGUCCUCGCCAACGCGCUCUACUUCAAAGGGGCGUGGACACAGCCGUUCGACGUCUCCACCAUGCCGUUCCACAUCCCAGGCGGCACCACCGGGCGCGUGCCAUCCAUGACCACAAGCCGGUCACAGCGCAUCGCGGUCUACCCGGGCUUCAGGGCCCUCAAGCUGCCGUACAAGAACGACGUGCAGCAGCAAGCUGAAUUCUACAUGCUUAUCCUACUACCGGACAGGGACACUGUUAGUCUCGCCGAUCUGUAUGACAAGGCUGUGUCGACGCCGGAGUUCAUCAAGACGCACACGCCAGCGGGUAAGGUUCCAGUCGGGCGGUUCAUGGUCCCCAAGUUCAAGUUCACGUAUGAGUUUGAGGCGUCUUCGGACAUGCGAAAGCUUGGUGUCAAUAGGGCUUUUCAUGGCGGCGACUUCUCCGGUAUGGUGAGCAGCAGAGAUGGGGGGCUCACCAUCACCGGGGUGUACCAUAAGGCCACCAUUGAGGUGGACGAGGUAGGCACCGCGGCCGCCGCUGCCACCGUCGUCGUAAUCGGGCGUACUACGGCACCACGACCAAGGUAUCUGGUGGAUUUUGUGGCGGAUCGGCCCUUCUUAUUUGGCGUGGUUGAGGAGAUGACAGAUGCGGUUUUGUUCCUUGGUCACGUGGUUGAUCCUCUCACUUGCUAA